AAUUUUAACUCUUAAAAGUUUUAAUUGGUAGUAAAAAUUUUGGCAGAAAGAAUGGAAAGUAACAUGUAAGAUGYGGUCUCAAGCAUAUUUCCCUCACAGAUUAUUUAGGGUUCUAAAUAUAACAAAUUGUUAUAUGUAAUAGAUUCUCUUUGAGUACACUUUUUUAUUGAAGUGUGGAUAAAUGGUUGAAUUGGCAUCCCUGGAGUAAAGUUGCGAUAGGAGUYCCAAGCCUACCAUUCUGGUACAAGCCAACAAAAGAGGAGCCUUCCCGGUUGCUGUGGUUGAAAACUUAACUGUUUAUUGAAGAAAAGGAUGGGAAUACAUCUGGGGCAAGGGUGUACUCCCCUAUAUUUGCUAUAUGGCCUCAUCAGUCUUAACAAAGGCAGCAUCAAUGUCUUCCAAUAGAAUGAUACUCUGCUGAGGAGCUACACUCAUUAAAUGGUUGAGUCUGUCAUCGGAUAGACUACGAUCACUCAAGUUCAUCACACAGAUACUGUAAUCUAGCUCUCCUGCAAGGGCUUGUCUAAARAUGAUUAAUAAAAUAGWGUUAAAACAGAUMAUUAUCAAUAGGUCCUCARURACAUAACAACUUCCAAGUGUUGUCAGUAGCCCUAUGGAACUGUUCUCAUGAUUUGAUUCAAAUKCAAAUAGAAGAAAGUAAAAUCUUACAUAAAACUACUUUUUCCACAUCCUGGAGGUCCAUAUAAUAAAUAUCCUCUUCUAUAAGGAAUUCCUGAYAAUAAAAACAGUAAAGACAA